UAUUACUAAACAGUAUAACACAGCUAGCUAGGAGCCUCCACGUCGCUUUGACGCUCUCAGCCAUCGGAUCACUCAAACGUACGAUCAAGAUCAGCUCUCGGCGUCCCAGGUUGCUCACGCACUGCACGCAAGUCUCGCGGGCUGCUGCUCCACAGAGCGAGUUCCAUCGCUAUCCUCCCCAUCUGUUCGUCGCGUGCCGCCGUUUCUGGCUCCUCGAUGCGUCGCCGACCGCCGUUCUUUCCUCCUCGAUGCGCCGUUGUUCCAUCAUCGGCGAGCUUCUUCUUCGCGACUGCCUCCUCACCGAUUCCGUCCACCCGCCCUGUACUCUUCCUCAGCAGCCCCUUUUUUUACUGUUUUUUCAUUUCGUGUCUUGUAUCGUUUGUCCGUGGCGGCUGCGGCGGCAGCCGGCGCCGUCGACGACCUCUCUCCAAAUACGGCGACAUAUAUGGGCAGCGGUGGGAUGUUUUCUCACCUUCCUGUGCGUGGCAGUGUUGCUGUGAUGGCAAGAUGAUACGGGCGACGAGGGGAUGGGGCCAUGGGGGUGACAGUGCUACUCUUCUCCGUUGAGAUCCAAGCUGUCAGCUGUGCUUGAUUAAUUAAGGUGUGGGGUACCUAGAGUAAUCACAAAGCGUGGAUAAGUGACCAUCCAACACUCUGGUCUGCUGCUUAGACGUCAUGUCUUAUUCAUGAUUUGGAGCUACAACAUAUACACGAUUAAAAAUGAGUGACCAGAACACAAGUCGAUGUAGACAGUUAUGAUCGAAUUAUAUAUACAUUUGUAUCAUGGUAUCUCAGUGGCAGGAAGAUAUAUUUGUCUCCAGAAGUGACCCAUUCACUAUUUGUUGAUGGGAAUUUUUAUUUCAAAAGUUUUGAUUGGAAAAAGAGAUACAGCUCUGUAUCUCAUAUUUUUAGCAACCUGCAAAAACCAAGAUCUGCUGUUGUAUUUA